GAUUAAUACCGCAUGGAUCUACGGAUGUUUGCGGGUUGACCUUCGGGCCUCGCGCUAUAGGGUUGGCCGAUGGCUGAUUAGCUAGUUGGUGGGGUAAAGGCCUACCAAGGCGACGAUCAGUAGCUGGUCUGAGAGGACGACCAGCCACACUGGGACUGAGUGGCGGCCCAGACUCCUACGGGAGGCAGCAGUGGGGAAAAAGGACAAUGGGCGAAAGCCUGAUCCAGCAAUGGGGCGUGUGUGAAGAAGGCCUUCCCCUUGUAAAGCACUUUUGUCCGGAAAGAAAUCCUUGGCUCUAAUACAGUCCCCCCAUGACGGUACCGGAAGAAUAAGCACCGGCUAACUACGUGCCAGCAGCCGCGGUAAUACGUAGGGUGCGAGCGAAAAUCGGAAUUACUGGGCGUAAAGCGUGCGCAGGCGGAAAGCUAAGACCGAUGUGAAAUCCCCGCCCUCAACCUGGGAACUGCAUUGGUGACUGGCAGGCUAGAGUAUGGCAGAGGGGGGUAGAAUUCCACGUGUAGCAGUGAAAUGCGUAGAGAUGUGGAGGAAUACCGAUGGCGAAGGCAGGGGGCUGGGCCAAUACUGACGCGCAUGCACGAAAGCGUGGGGAGCAAACAGGAUUAGAUACCCUGGUAGUCCACGCCCU
rnacentral:rRNA from 1 species